GAGAAAAGAAUUAACAAAACUAAAAGAAGAGCUCAUCGAUGCAAUCAGGCAGGAACUGAGCAAGUCAAAUACUGCAUAGAGAAACAAACGAAGGAGAGAUUGGACUUUAAUCUGGAGAAGAAGAAAAAAUUUCUACCAACCACAGCUGUUAACAACAAACCCCUACAUUUUGUGAGCUGUGAGAAGACAGCGGAGACAAACACUCAGAAGGAAGGAAAAAGCAGUGCACUCUGGAAGCUUCAGACGCCCUGACUCUGGCGAUGAGCUGUUUUCCUCCUAGUCUGCUGCUUUUUUCUGACCUUUAUACAGGAUGGAAAAGAGUCGUAUAAGAGUUCCUAUAACCAUUAUGCAGAAAUACUAAGCCCAUCAGGCAAGAGUAAUGCUCAUUGAGAUAUUUUCAUGGCAAGAUAAAAUCGCACAUUUUCCACAAUCCAUUGCUAAAAUAAAGAGGAGAAAGGCUUAUGAAGUUUUCUUUCAGAGUGCAGAUGAAGAAUUUAGCAGGUUAUGCUAUUGUAUUGUAAAUGUUUCUCUCAGGUUUGUCUUCCUAUCAUAUUUGAUAUUCCAUGAAUAAUUGAGAUCAGCCCUGUGUAGGUUAAGACCAUAUAAUGUGGAACAAAUGGAAGUGUGUGGGUUUUCAAAGGGUGAUAUUUAUAAGAAAGUGUCCUAAAAAUAAUUUGUCCAGCUUGAGGAAUUUUAGAAUGAUAGGAAGUCUUUCAAGUUAGCCUUCAUGCAAUUUUGUAGAUUAAAACAUAAAAUUCGUCCAGAAUUUAAAGAUUUAGAUGCCUUCCUAAAUUGGUACAAUGCUUUACCAAAUCUAUGACUUCUACAUAACACAAACCAGUGGUCAAAUGUAAAACAAUAUAUUGUAGAUUUACUGUAGGUUUUCAAUCUUUUUUAGAUUUAUGCAUGUGGACAUUUUUAUAAUGUGAUUACAACCACCACAAAGUUAGCUUUUUAAAUCACAGACAGUGAUGCAUGUCACACAGUACGUAGUGGCCUUUUCAAGGCCUAGUCCCAGGGAGAACAUUUUGUAGAGUAUUAGGGGAGUGGGAGGAUGGGAAGGAAUAAUUUUUUUAUUUAAAGUUAAUUUCUGCACUAUUUUUUCUCAAUUACCUGCAUGAAUAAUAAUGAGGAAUAUUUUGUGACUUUAAUUGGUAAAUAUGUUAACAAAACAAAGUACUUAAUCUUUUACAUCAUGUCUUCAGCUAUUUGUAUCUUAACUGGUAAUUUCAAUGGUCUGAAACAUGAUUCUGAGCUUCACAUGAGUUAUAUCUUAUUGUGGAACUCAAAAGUUUGAUCACUGAAUUUGGCAGUUAUUAUUACCUUGGUACCCCUGCAGUUACAGGUGUUCAGGUACAUACAUGUUCCUGACUGUGAAGCUGCUUUUGAAUUUUGUUAUGUUGAAAUACAAGGAGUAACAGUGAUGGCAGCAGUUAAGGGUCCCAGAAGUCAUAGAUAAAGGGAAACCAUCGAGGGGUUCUGCAGUUUUCUCUUAAUAAAGUGGGACUUACAUCGUGGAGAGAAGGAACUAGAUAUUGUACUUACCACCUUGUGUGUCUGUGUGUGUGUGUGUGUGUGUGUGCACGCGUGCUGCGUGUAUGUAAUCCACUCCCUUUUCCUUUCUUUGAAACUGGUAAGAUUAGACAAUAGGGGAGAAAUUCUACAUGUUGCAAUGAUAGCUUUUUGGAAAAUUUAGGAAAUCAGAAAUUCUCCAGGCUCCAUCUUGAUUUAUGCUUGAGUUGCUAUGUGCCAUAUUUGCUUUGAAAUUUUUGAUUAUCAGAAGUUUCACUAAAAUUGUGAAGAAAUAAUUCACUUUCAUCUGCUUUCUAGAUUUCAUUUAUCUCAGUUCAUAAGACAAAGCUCACUGAUAGCGUAGUUUUCUAAAUACUGCAGACUAGCAGCCAUUACCACUACAAAGAAGUUUGAAUGAGGGAAUUUAUUUUCCUUGUUAAAAUAGUUCCUGUUUCUGUAGAAACUUCAUUUUUAGAUUAAACUGUGAUGGAUGAGCUAUCAUAAUUCAAGUACACAGUUCUUCUGUCAAGUAUUCAUUGUCAUGCAAUAGUAAGUAGUAAAGGCAUUUAAGGCGCAACAAGGUUAUAAAGUACUAUUUUCUAAAGAAAUAGGAGGCAUUUUCAUCCUUAUUAUUGUACUUUUGGUUAUACAAAUAGUUUGACAAUGUAAAUGUUUAUGUCCCCUACAUAUCUGGUCAGAAAUCACUUUUGAUUUUGUUGGGUAAGUUAAAUAGUCUAUAAUAGGUAGAGUACUGGGUACAAGAGGUCCAAAGUAAGAUAAAAGACUAAAAUAAAAUGCUAAAUCUUAAACUGGUUUAUGCACUAAACGUUUUGUGCCUUGGUCUAAUAUUAAAAUGAUGUCUGUGUAAACUGACAAAAAAGAACCAGUGUUGAAUCAUGCUAUAUUUUCCAUCAUUUUGCAUUAUCUCAGAUUGCUAAAUGUGUUCUUUCCAAGUUUGAUCAAAUUACAGUAUACAUUUUUUGCUGUCAUUAAUGGCAGUUGUGUCGUUGUUAGAGAUUUCAGUAAUUAAAGUGGGAAACAGAAACUUAAGUUAUUUUCCUUAUGAAAACUAUGUUCCUUGGACCCCCAUUAUUCUGAUGGUUUUUGUGCUCUUGUACAUUGGAUGUCUUAAGCUGAGUACAGUUUAGGGGAUCCUUUCUAACUACAGGAAGGUACUGCUUUCCUCAACACUGUGAUCUGACCUAUGACAAAUCUGUACUAUACACUAUGUAAAUGGCUAACAAGUCAAUUGCAAGCAAACUGAAUGUACAAACCUCAGUGCUGGUGCUGAAAUCUCUUCAGAAUAGUCAUCAUGAUUUAAAAGUCUGUUUAAAAUCUUGCAAGCAUCAAGUGUCAAUCAAAACUGAAGAUGAAACACUCAUGAAUGUUGAAUUCUCAUGCUUUAGGUGUAUUUCCUUUUUAGGUUUUUCAGAUCUCUGCUGUUUUUACCGUAACUUUCAUUUAAAUUUCCUACACACUAAAACUUCGUUUGUGAGAUUGAAAUAAAAUUACAGUAUAUACAUGUUGCUUGUUUGUGACACUUAGAUAAUCUUUUGAAAUAAUUUGUUAGUUCUAAAAUAAGUUAUAUUGGAUGUGAAAAACACCUUUUAAAGUCCAAGAUUUCAUGACUUAAAAGUUUACAUGUCACAUCACUAUUCUUUAAGGAGUUCAUAAAGUCAUGAAUACUAAGUAAUGUAUACAAAGGGAAUAUGUGAUAAUGUAUCUACUUUUUGUUUGAAAUAACUGUUGGGUAUUCUCUG